AUUCAGAAAUAAAACAUUGUUUUAUGUGAAUGCUGAGGUUAAUAGACAGAAUACUCCAUACUGGUCAAAGCAAUCCACAUUGGGCGGACCAUUCCAAACAGCAAGGAGCGCAAAAAAUUACAUGUUGUGGUG